rnacentral:rRNA from 1 species
CUGCGAACGGCUCAUUAAAUCAGUUGCGAUCUACUCGGCGUUCCGCGCCGCCGGAUAACCGUAGUAAUUCGUAGGGCUAAUACGUGCGAAGCGCCGAGCCGCGAGGCGACGGCGUUCUCGCCGGAUGUAGGAACCGACCCGGGGACCGCCGGGGCAACCCGGCGCCCCCGAGACGGGGCGAACCACGGUGAAAUGACGGAUCGUCGGCCCCGCGCCGGCGACUCGCCGAAUGAGUUUCUGACCUAUCAACUCGAGACGGCGGGGUAGAGGCCCGCCGCGGUAACGACGGGUAACGGGGAAUCAGGGUUCGAUUCCGGAGAGGGAGCCCGAGAAACGGCUACCACUUCCAAGGAAGGCAGCAGGCGCGCAACUUACCCUAAUCUCGAUUCGAGGAGGUAGUGACAAGAAAUACCGAUGCGGGACCCUACGGGUGCCGCGUUCGGAAUGAGUACGAUUCGAACCACCUAACGAGGAACGAUCGG